rnacentral:rRNA from 1 species
GAUGAACGCUGGCGGUGUGCCUAAUACAUGCAAGUCGAGCGAACAGACGAGGAGCUUACUCCUCUGACGUUAGCGGCGGACGGGUGAGUAACACGUGGAUAACCUACCUAUAAGACUGGGAUAACUUCGGGAAACCGGAGCUAAUACCGGAUAACAUGUUGAACCGCAUGGUUCAACAGUGAAAGUCGGUCUUGCUGUCACUUAUAGAUGGAUCCGCGUCGCAUUAGCUAGUUGGUAAGGUAACGGCUUACCAAGGCAACGAUGCGUAGCCGACCUGAGAGGGUGAUCGGCCACACUGGAACUGAGACACGGUCCAGACUCCUACGGGAGGCAGCAGUAGGGAAUAUUCCGCAAUGGGCGAAAGCCUGACGGAGCAACGCCGCGUGAGUGAAGAAGGUCUUCGGAUCGUAAAACUCUGUUAUUAGGGAAGAACAAAUGUGUAAGUAACUAUGCACGUCUUGACGGUACCUAAACAGAAAGCCACGGCUAACUACGUG